rnacentral:rRNA from 1 species
AUUGAACGCUGGCGGCAUGCUUUACACAUGCAAGUCGAACGGCAGCGCGGGCUUCGGCCUGGCGGCGAGUGGCGAACGGGUGAGUAAUACAUCGGAACGUGCCCAGUAGUGGGGGAUAGCUCGGCGAGAGCCGGAUUAAUACCGCAUACGACCUGCGGGUGAAAGCGGGGGAUCUUCGGACCUCGCGCUAUUGGAGCGGCCGAUGGCAGAUUAGCUAGUUGGUGGGGUAAAGGCCUACCAAGGCGACGAUCUGUAGCUGGUCUGAGAGGACGACCAGCCACACUGGGACUGAGACACGGCCCAGACUACUACGGGAGGCAGCAGUGGGGAAUUUUGGACAAUGGGCGAAAGCCUGAUCCAGCAAUGCCGCGUGUGUGAUGAAGGCCUUCGGGUUGUAAAGCACUUUUGGCGGGAACGAAAAGGACUGUGCCAAUACCACGGUUCGAUGACGGUACCCGCAGAAUAAGCACCGGCUAACUACGUG